CUACGACAACUGCGGAACCCACCACUGCCAUUGAUUUCCCGAUCCGCCUGGCUGGAGGAGGUGCGUGUCAGGGCCGGGUGGAGGUGUUCUACAGCGGUUCGUGGGGCACAGUGUGCGACGAUAUUUGGGAGCUACCUCACGCCCAGAUCGUGUGCCGUCAGCUGGGCUGUGGGCCCGCCCAGGCUGCCCUGCAAAACGCCUACUUCGGAGAGGGCAGCGGUAACAUCUGGCUGGACGAUGUCCAGUGCUUUGGCUACGAGCCUCAGCUAUCGGAGUGUGGCCACCCUCCGUUUGGCGUGCACAACUGUGGCCACAACGAAGACGCUUCGGUCAUCUGCUCAGAAGGUGGCUUUUUUUGUUUGCUCGAGUUUAUCGCCGUGAUUUUGUCUGUGCGCGUAUAUGUAUGCUGUGUGUGGAAACGCGAUGCGCGAUGUAAUUGGUAAUUUCAAACGCUCCGCCUUAAAAGUUGAAUGUUUGCAAAAUAAGUAUUUUGUAUUUUUGCAAGAGGUGGAUGCAUUGAGACGCAUCGCGUUCAAGCUUCACGAUCACGUGUGCAAAUUAUAGCCUUGUUAACGUAUUCACUCAGGUGGAAAUACAUGAAUAUAUACUGUAUAAUCUCAGGGAUUAAUAUACAAGAUAACAAAUAGUAUCAGUCAGCAGUGGAAGAAUUCGCAGAGGCAUCCUGUUCACCUAUGAAUUGCUCAAAUGUUAUCAGUGCAAAGGAAAUUUGAGACAAUGUGAGAUUAAAAAAAAUAGUGAGAAUGGCCUUGCAUUUUUUUAUAUCGUACAAACACCCUACCACAGAUGCAGAGUUUGAGGUGUGGGUUUUAAAUUGGAAAGCCUUGACAUGCUAGGCCAUCCACCCAGAUACUACGUCUCACAUAAGUACCAUAAGAAAAUGCAACUCCAUACCGUGUGUCAUUACACGGAUUUUGAUUAUUUUAAAUGCUUUCAAUGCUGAGAGGAGAUCGACAGACGUCAGCUCCUCGUGGGAUUUUUCCGAACCCAGUGUCUGCGUUAUUACUUGAGGUGUGUGGGGUACAUUUUAAAGAAAGUCAUCCCCAUCACUUCACAAAACCUUUCCUGUAACGAUAUCAAAUGAUAUGUAUAUAACUGCUACCGAGGGGUAGAUUUUUGUGUGAAAUCGCACGCUAUUUUAACAUCGUAAUAUUUAUGCACUCACGCACUAUUAUUAAACUACUGUCCACUGCAGCAUAUUCCAUUUCGUAAACGUGAAUAUAUUCGAUCGGGCAGAAGUUAACGCUUGUUAAAAUUAUUCAUUGGUUUCUGUUUCCACGAAAAAGAAAAAUGGCUGCACAGUUGCUCACCGUGUGUGUGUUGUGUGAUUGUUUCUCUCGCGUGUCUGCAGUUUCUACGCCUGAAACAGAAUCACCUACACCUACCUACUCCAGGGCAUGCCUGUCUCGCCCGUGUUACAAUGGGGGCACCUGCGUGGAUGAGAAUGUCUACCCCUAUUACUCCUGCAACUGCAUCCCGUUCACAUACGGCGAAAACUGUGAUUAUCAAGUAACUCCACGACCAUCGCCUGGAACGGUGAGCCCUACUUCCCCUACCGGUAAGUGUCACUUCUCUCUCUGUUACUUGCACCUAGACGCCUGCUUCGUUCCGAUUCUGCUCCCACUGCCGUUGUUGGAGUGAAACUGGUGUAGACCUUUAGAAUCGUGAACAGAAUAAA